UAGGGUCGUCAUUCGUCAAGCGCACUGGAGAUCUUCGGAAACCCUAGCUCUCUCUCUCUCUCUCUCUCUUGUGUGGCGGCGGCUGACGGAAAUGGGUUGUUCCCGGCUGACGGAAAACCCUAGCAUCUGAUCGCUCGACUAGGCCCAUUCGUUCCUCUCUCUCUUUUAUUUCUCUGCCGUUUCCUUUUCUGCUUUUCGUCCAUGGUUGCUUCGCCGUCUUCCUGCUUUUCAGCGGCCUUGGAGGAAUGCGGAAAUUUGUUUCCUUCUUCUUUUGUUUUUUUCUCUUGAUGAAUUUUUUUGUGGUGUUUGUUGUAUUUGGAAAGUACUAGCUCUAAGGCGUGAGCUCUUUUUUUUUUUUUUCUUGUAUCUUCCUUUGCGUUUCAAUUGGUUUUCUCAGUGUUAACUCCACCAUUAUAAUUUUUGUGGUUUACAAAAAUUUGUUUUAGUUCUUUUUGGCUUCAUUUUUUUCCCCUAUCGGCGUUCAAUUAUGAUUGGCGAUGAUUAGAAAGAGAGAGGCUCGAAUGGUACUUGACGAAUGCAUCUUGUGAUUGGAGGUGCCGCCCUUUUGGGCUUUUGGUAUCUUCUUUCCCUCGACGCCUUCUUCAACCAUGAUGUUGGAGUCACCCAAAAUUACACUUGAUAUGAGCCAUGUUGUUGUGGAGAAUACGGCAAUUUUCUUCUUCUUUUUGUUUUGUUUUUCUUUUCUUCUCCAUUUUCUUCCCUUUCUUUCCUUGAUGUUUUAAUUCCGACUAGGAAAUUGUUUGGAAUCAUGCGCUUUAACCGAAGCAGAGGGCCAAAGCCAGCCUAUCUGAAAUAAAAUAUGAUAUAUUUACUAGACGAUCUUGGCGACAUCAGGUUAAAACGGGUCUUUUCGUCACCAUUAAGCCAAGUUCUGCAAGGUCGCCAUUUACAAAAAGCACCUAGAACGAGGUGUAUUACAUAUUGCAGGUGGCUGCAAGGUAAAGGCAAAGGAUCAUCUGCAGCUGCUACUUGCUACUAUUUUAUGUGUCCAUCUUCUAUUAAUAUGGCCCUGUCUAAACUUAUUUUAGUUAUUCAAAGGCAAUUGUGAUUGCAGGUUAUGCCCAGUCAAGUUUAUUUUAUGACUAAUUUGUUCUUUUAUAAAGUCAUGUGCAUUUUGUUGAACCACUUUGAUUUAUUUCAAGGGGUUAGUCUUUUAAAUUCAGUGAUGUAUAUACAUUUGUAAACACGGGAUUAUGUUCGGUCCAA